GAUGAACGCUGGCGGCGUGCCUAGUAUAUGCAAGUCGAGCGAACGGACGAGAAGCUUGCUUCUCUGAUGUUAGCGGCGGACGGGUGAGUAACACGUGGAUAACCUACCUAUAAGACUGGGAUAACUUCGGGAAACCGGAGCUAAUACCGGAUAAUAUUUUGAACCGCAUGGUUCAAAAGUGAAAGACGGUCUUGCUGUCACUUAUAGAUGGAUCCGCGCUGCAUUAGCUAGUUGGUAAGGUAACGGCUUACCAAGGCAACGAUGCAUAGCCGACCUGAGAGGGUGAUCGGCCACACUGGAACUGAGACACGGUCCAGACUCCUACGGGAGGCAGCAGUAGGGAAUCUUCCGCAAUGGGCGAAAGCCUGACGGAGCAACGCCGCGUGAGUGAUGAAGGUCUUCGGAUCGUAAAACUCUGUUAUUAGGGAAGAACAUAUGUGUAAGUAACUGUGCACAUCUUGACGGUACCUAAUCAGAAAGCCACGGCUAACUACGUG
rnacentral:rRNA from 1 species